CUUCGUGAUUCAUUCAAUACUUGAGAGCGAAAGCAAGGGGAGAGAACCUGAUCCGCGAAUUGGGACGUUUUGAUCCGAUUAGGGUUUUACCAAAAGCACUUGGUCAAGUUCAGCCAUAUUCGGUCUGAGAUCGGAUGGCACCGCCUCCAGGCCCUUAUUCUGGCACCAGCACUCUCGCUCUGGUGGCUCGUGCAUCAGCAUUCACUUUAGGUGUGGUCUAUGGAAGCCUGAAGCUUAAGAUUCUCAAAGCAAAGGCAAAGUCACAUCAGAAAGCUGACGCAAAGGCUCAUCACUGAUGGCUGUGCUGUGGCGGUACUUACAUUUUUUGGGGCCUCUGGCAGGAAGGAGAGGGCUUGUGUUUCUUUUAUAAGAUGAAGAUUGUUUUUAAGAGUAUUGCAGGACCUAUAAUUUUAUUUUACUCAUUUUGUGAGUUUUUAUUUUAAAUUUAAAUUUCUUAAUUUUUAACAUAUCAAUAAUUAAUAUGUAGAUAAAUAUAUAUAUAUAUAUAUAUUUUUAAGUACAGUUGACUUUUUUUUCUUGAUUACGAGGGUUAAAGGAUAUUUGUUGUCAAGUAUUGAUAUAAACACAAUACAUUUCGUAACAAUGUUGUAAGAUAAAGAGUAUUUUUAUAAAGUAACGUUAUUUU